GUGGGAGUGACGGUGGUCGCGCCGGCAGCGCCGCCUUGGGCCUGCGGGAGGCGCCCGAGAGACAGGGGCAACCACGGCGGCUGCGCAGAGUCGUCUCCACGCCGGCUGCCCCACCAGCGGGAUCCGCCUGGCUCAGCUGACAGCUCCCGAGAACGGAAGAGGCGGUGCGCCGGUUGAGCAGGGAGUUUCUAGGCCUGGUCGGCUGGCGGCGAUGGCAGGAUUUUCAUAGUAUAUGUAGUAUGAGUUCCACAUCUUGGCCUCUUUAUCCAGCUUCAGCGGUCUCAGCUCCACCAGUUAGAGAAUAAAUGGGAUUUGCAUGAACUCCACUCUGAGCUGAAAUACAGACUGUGGUGUUAAUAUCCUUUUCUUCUGAUUGUUAUUAACAGGUCCUCAGAAAAUUAAAUGUCGUCAGAAGACCGAGAAGCUCAGGAGGAUGAAUUGCUGGCCCUGGCAAGUAUUUACGACGGAGAUGAAUUUAGAAAAGCAGAGUCUGUCCAAGGUGGAGAAACCAGGAUCUAUUUGGAUUUGCCACAGAAUUUCAAGAUAUUUGUGAGCGGCAAUUCAAAUGAGUGUCUCCAGAAUAGUGGCUUUGAAUACACCAUUUGCUUUCUGCCUCCACUUGUGCUGAACUUUGAACUGCCACCAGAUUAUCCAUCCUCUUCCCCACCUUCAUUCACACUUAGUGGCAAAUGGCUGUCACCAACUCAGCUAUCUGCUCUAUGCAAGCACUUAGACAACCUAUGGGAAGAACACCGUGGCAGUGUGGUCCUGUUUGCGUGGAUGCAAUUUCUUAAGGAAGAGACCCUAGCAUACUUGAAUAUUGUCUCUCCUUUUGAACUCAAGAUUGGUUCUCAGAAAAAAGUGCAGAGAAGGACAGCUCAAGCCUCUCCCAACACAGAGCUAGAUUUUGGAGGAGCUGCUGGAUCUGAUGUAGACCAAGAGGAAAUUGUGGAUGAGAGAGCUGUGCAGGAUGUGGAAUCAUUGUCAAAUCUGAUCCAGGAAAUCUUGGACUUUGAUCAAGCUCAGCAGAUAAAAUGCUUUAAUAGUAAAUUGUUCCUGUGCAAUAUCUGUUUCUGUGAGAAGCUGGGUAGUGAAUGCAUGUACUUCUUGGAGUGCAGGCAUGUGUACUGCAAAGCCUGUCUGAAGGACUACUUUGAAAUCCAGAUCAGAGAUGGCCAGGUUCAGUGCCUCAACUGUCCAGAACCAAAGUGCCCUUCGGUGGCCACUCCUGGUCAGGUCAAAGAGCUAGUGGAAGCAGAGUUAUUUGCCCGUUAUGACCGUCUUCUCCUCCAGUCCACCUUGGACCUGAUGGCAGAUGUGGUGUACUGCCCCCGGCCGUGCUGCCAGCUGCCUGUGAUGCAGGAGCCUGGCUGCACCAUGGGUAUCUGCUCCAGCUGCAAUUUUGCCUUCUGUACUUUGUGCAGGUUGACCUACCAUGGGGUCUCUCCAUGUAAGGUGACUGCAGAGAAAUUAAUGGACUUACGAAAUGAAUACCUACAAGCAGAUGAGGCUAAUAAAAGACUUUUGGAUCAAAGGUAUGGUAAGAGAGUGAUUCAGAAGGCACUGGAAGAGAUGGAAAGUAAGGAGUGGCUAGAGAAGAACUCAAAGAGCUGCCCAUGUUGUGGAACUCCCAUAGAGAAAUUAGAUGGAUGUAACAAGAUGACAUGUACUGGCUGUAAGCAAUAUUUCUGUUGGAUUUGCAUGGGUUCUCUCUCUAGAGCAAACCCUUACAAACAUUUCAAUGACCGUGCUUCACCAUGUUUUAAACGGCUGUUUUAUGCUGUGGAUGUUGAUAACGAUAUUUGGGAAGAUGAGGUUGAAGACUAGUUAACUACUGCUCAAGAUAUGGAAGUGAAUUGUUUUUCCCUAAUCUUUCGUCAAGUACACAAAGUAACUUUGCGGGAAAUUUAGGGUACUACUCAUUCACUCUUCCUGUGUAGAAGCUAUGGAAGAACAAGGUUUAUAUUUUCAUGUGGUACUACUGAAGAAGGUGCAUUCAUACAUUUUUAAAUGAUCCCUUCUAGGACACCACGUUAUACAUUUAGUCGCCAUGUCUCCUCAGACCCCUCUCAGCUGUCACAGUUGUCUCAUCUGUUUUUAUUGUGAUAUAAACAUUAAUUAUACCUUGGACUGAGCAGGAGCCAAAACACUUUUUGAAGACACAUUACCUAAUCCUAGCAGGCUCAGCAAAUCAGUGACUUCUUUUUGACUGAGGUCUUUUGUAGCUUUAAAUCAGUUACUUCUCAGGAUGCUUCAGUUUUAGGCUGUUCCCCUAUUCUGGUAAUUUUCCUGCUCAGCUUCUUGAAAAACAUCAUUAAACACUGGGCAAGUUGAUCAAGUCAGGAAGUCAGCUGGACCCAUUAGACUGUGCACUGGUGUGAGAAUCAGCCUGCCAUCUUGGCUACAUCCCAAAGUUUGUGGAGUAGAUGCAUCCCUUCCUGUUGACUUGUGGAGGAGCUGGUGAACGUAAGAAAGGCUCAGAAUCAGAAGCCACAUUCCCAGACAGAUUUGUGGUGUCAGCAGUCUAUUUUUUUUUUAAUUUUUAUUUUUGAGACGGAGUCUUGCUGUCACCAGGCUGGAGUGCAGUGGCGCAAUCUCGGCUCACUGCAACCUCCGCCUCCUGGGUUCAAGUGAUUCUUCUGCCUCAGCCUCCCAAGUAGCUGGGAUUACAGGUGCCCAUGACCAAACCCAGCUAAUUUUUUAAAUUUUUUUAUUUUUUUAUUUUUAGUAGAGAUGGGGUUUCACCAUAUUGGCCAGGCUGGUUUUGAACUCCUGACUUCAAGUGAUCCACCCACUUCAGCCUCCCAAAGUGCUAGGAUCACAGGUGUGAGCCACCAUGCCCAGCCCAAAGUCAUUUGCCCAUUUUUUUAGUAGUAGACAGUUCUAAUUUACAUUAGUAAUCUCUUAAUAUACUUAGUAUUUUUUUUUCUGUCAAGAGAGUAAUGAGAGUUAAUUAGAGGAGAUAAUAAUAAAGUUGUUCAUGUGGUUGUCUGCUUUGAAAGGGAAUUUCAGAAUUGUGACUGGAGUUUGGAUCUCCCACCUAGUAUUAACUUUGCCAUAAGCAUCACCAGCAGGUGGCAGCAGUUCCCAUGUUAUAAAAAUACAGUCCCUAGUUAAGACAGGUAUAGAGUAUGUUGUUUUGUUACAGAAGUAGAUUUAAUUUCUGGUAUUUAAAUUUUCCUCAUUAUAUUUAACUAUAGUCUGUUUUAUACUUUAGUAGACAGAAUGGUAUUUAACGAUACUAUCAAGGCAGGAACAGCAGUAUUACCAGAAAUUUUUAAAUACUCAAAAGUGUAGAUGAACCACAGUUGACAUCUUAUGCAAUUGUUACAUAGCAGAGUGUCACUCCUGAUAGUGGCACUUAACCUUCAGCCACCAAAGUAGGGAAAUUAAGUUGUAUAUGAAGCUCCUAAGUAGGACCAAGGAAUUGUAACACCAUGGUGCCCUCUGAUGCUGGUAAGAGUAGCCAGCCUGCUCCCCAAACCUUAGCUUAACUAAAAAAAAUCAGGCAGGACAGUGUGGUCAGAAAUCUGGCUAUGGGAGCUUUAGGGGUAUUCUUAACAAAUGCUUAUGGUAAUAAUCAACUUUCACCACUCAUCGUUGAGACCAUACAGUUUCUCAGGUUGUCUGAAAAUUUACCACUCCAAGGACUCCCACAUUUCUCUGAGCCAGAGGAUGCUUUCGAGAAGAUUGUGUACAUUGGAAACUUAGGGAGAUUUGAUGCUGAAGUCGCUAAGUACAAAGUCAACAGUCACUUUUUUUCCUUGCUUGAAUCUCUUUUUUUUCCCUUCAUUAUAAAAACAAACCAAAAAAGGAAAAACAACUCAUACUAAUACAACAUAAAUACAUGUAAAUUUUAAAAUCGAUUGUGUGUCUUACCUCAGUACCAUUCGAAUUUGUGCAACCUAUAGUAUUUCCUAGAAUAACUCACUUAUUUAACAAAUACUGAUGGAAUACCCUGCAAUGGGCCUUACUCUUUUUCAAAGUGGUGAGAAUGUAGCAGUAAAUAAAACAGACAUAAUCUCCCUGCCCAUGUGGAACUUAGAUUCUGGUGGAAGGAAAGAGACACUAAGUAAAGUAUCUGGUUCAUCAGAAGAUAAGUAGCAUGGGGCUGUGCACAGUGGCUCCCACCUGUAAUCCCAGUGCUUUGAGAGGCUGAGGUGAGAGGAUCACUUGAAGCCAGGAGUUUGAGACCAGUCUGGGCAACACAGAAAAACCCCAUCUCUCUUAAAAA